GCUACCAGGUACCGUGAGCAAUCACUGGAGCUGGAACACUGCUGCCUGAGGAAGAGAAGAAGUGCAGGCUUGUCAUUGUCUAUGCUGUUACUUGUGGUUCCCGGGUCUUCAGAGAGGAUGCACAAGAACGGGAGAACCGGCCCCUGGGAUUUGCUGCUCAGGACCCGAGUUCACUGAGACAUCAGGAGCAAGCACUGGAGGCCGGUGCUGCUGGAUCCAGAUGGGAGCCAUGCAGGACUUGACCAUGGCCUGCACACACUUCUUCCCAGGAGAAGGGGAAUGAGGAAGACUGGCAUCACAGGACCCUUCAGAGUAUUAAUGCAGACCUUCGUGACAGAGGUCCAGUACCAAGUGCUCAGCGGUGCUAAGGUCCAGGGACAGGAGGCAGAAGGGCGGGUUCCAGCCCGCUCAGCUGGCCAUGGUAAAAUACUAGCUGGUGUCCUAGGGCAGCAGGGUGCCUCCCUCUCCAGGUUCUGAUGAGAAAACACUGCAGUCCCAGUUUCUUUCGGGGCUUGAAGAGAAGUCAAGGAAGCCCUGCAAGGCACUCACAGCUGAUCAUGCUGUCUGUAAUUGGCUGCCAUCUUCUGCCAUUGCUAGGAAUCAUGGGAAGGAGGACAUGUGGUGCUGUGACUUCUGAAACUAUUUUCCUCAUGAUGGCAGUUGUGCUCCACAAAAGAUCUUUUGAUUGUUUCCCCCCCCUCCCCGCUUCCUGUGUGAAAAAUUAUCAAGGAGAAUAUAGGUACCAAGGAAGAUUGGUUCGGUGAACUUUGCCUGUCCUCGAAUCGGUUCAGGGAUGGUUUGUUUUGUUUUUUGUUUUUGUUUUUUUGUUUUCUUGUUUUCCUUCUGAAGUCAUUCUGAGUCCUCAUUCUACCCUAGGUUGUAGGCCAUUUCCUUUUCUACAGCUGUUCAUACUCACCCUUUUUAGCUACUUAAUUUUGCUCUUGAUUGUCUAGUCUUAUUCAUUGGUUACAAUUUUCACACAGGAAAGGUAGUCUAGGAGCUUCGAAAGGAAAGCUUUUUUCAUGCAGGGUGAUUGGUAUUGCUGAGGGCUAACAACCCUUGCCUACCGUAUCCUAGAGCCUGGGUUUGCUCCCCAGGACUGAAAUGGGCACUGUUACC
rnacentral:sRNA from 1 species